GCCCGUCUAGCUCAGCGGAUAGAGCAUCGCUUUCCUAAGGCGAGGGUCGCAGGUUCGAUCCCUGCGUCGGGUG